rnacentral:misc_RNA from 1 species
UAAUAAAAGUGAAAUAAAUUAUGGCACUUUUAAAACAAUCCAUAUCCACCUUGUGUGCAAUGUUUUUUUUAUAUCAACUCUUUUAAAUACAAAUUGAUCUGAAAUUAUUUUAUGAAUACUUAAUUCAAAAAUA